rnacentral:rRNA from 1 species
GACGAACGCUGGCGGCGUGCUUAACACAUGCAAGUCGAACGGUGAAGCGCCUUCCUUUUUGGUGGGUGUGGAUGAGUGGCGAACGGGUGAGUAACACGUGAGUAACCUGCCCCCUUCUUCUGGAUAACCGCAUGAAAGUGUGGCUAAUACGGGAUAUUCUGGGUCUGUCGCAUGAUGGGUCUGGGAAAGAUAUUGUUUCGGUGGGGGAUGGGCUCGCGGCCUAUCAGCUUGUUGGUGGGGUGAUGGCCUACCAAGGCGGUGACGGGUAGCCGGCCUGGGAGGGUGGACGGUCACACUGGGACUGAGACACGGCCCAGACUCCUACGCGAGGCAGCAGUGGGGAAUAUUGCACAAUGGGGGCAAGCCUGAUGCAGCGACGCCGCGUGAGGGAUGGAGGCCUUCGGGUUGUGAACCUCUUUCGCCAGUGAAGCAGGCCUGCCUCGUUUGUGGGUGGGUUGACGGUAGCUGGAUAAGAAGCGCCGGCUAACUACGUG